rnacentral:tRNA from 1 species
AUUCCGAGUCCGGGCACCA